rnacentral:rRNA from 1 species
CCUACGGGAGGCAGCAGUGGGGAAUAUUGCACAAUGGGGGAAACCCUGAUGCAGCGACGCCGCGUGAGUGAAGAAGUAUUUCGGUAUGUAAAGCUCUAUCAGCAGGGAAGAAAAUGACGGUACCUGAUUAAGAAGCCCCGGCUAACUAAGUGCCAGCAGCCGCGGGAAUACGUAGGGGGCAAGCGUUAGCCGGAUUUAAUUGGGGUAAAGGGAGCGUAGACGGGAGCGUAAGUCUGAAGUGAAAUGCCGGGGCUUAACCCCGGAACUGCUUUGGAAACUGGGCAGCUAGAGUGCAGGAGAGGUAAGUGGAAGUCCUAGUGUAGCGGUGAAAUGCGUAGAUAUUAAGAGGAACACCAGUGGCGAAGGCGGCUUGCUGGACUGUAACUGACGUUGAGGCUCGAAAGCGUGGGGAGCAAACAGGAUUAGAUACCCGUGUAGUC